UACGUAGGGGGCAAGCGUUGUCCGGAUUUAUUGGGCGUAAAGAGCGUGUAGGCGGCCAUGCAGGUCCGUUGUGAAAACUCGAGGCUUAACCUCGAGCUGUCGGCGGAAACCAUCUGGCUAGAGUCCGGAAGAGGAGAAUGGAAUUCCCGGUGUAGCGGUGAAAUGCGCAGAUAUCGGGAAGAACACCCGUGGCGAAGGCGGUUCUCUGGGACGGUACUGACGCUGAGACGCGAAAGCGUGGGGAGCGAACAGG
rnacentral:rRNA from 1 species